ACGAACGCUGGCGGCGUGCUUAACACAUGCACGUCGAACGGAAAGGCCCUGCUUUUGUGGGGUGCUCGAGUGGCGAACGGGUGAGUAACACGUGAGUAACCUGCCCUUGACUUUGGGAUAACUUCAGGAAACUGGGGCUAAUACCGGAUAGGAGCUCCUGCUGCAUGGUGGGGGUUGGAAAGUUUCGGCGGUUGGGGAUGGACUCGCGGCUUAUCAGCUUGUUGGUGGGGUAGUGGCUUACCAAGGCUUUGACGGGUAGCCGGCCUGAGAGGGUGACCGGCCACAUUGGGACUAAGAUACGGCCCAGACUCCUACGGGAGGCAGCAGUGGGGAAUAUUGCACAAUGGGCGGAAGCCUGAUGCAGCAACGCCGCGUGCGGGAUGACGGCCUUCGGGUUGUAAACCGCUUUCGCCUGUGACGAAGCGUGAGUGACGGUAAUGGGUAAAGAAGCACCGGCUAACUACGU
rnacentral:rRNA from 1 species